rnacentral:rRNA from 1 species
UGGGGAAUCUUGCACAAUGGGGGCAACCCUGAUGCAGCGACGCCGCGUGAGCGAUGAAGCCCUUCGGGGCGUAAAGCUCUUUCGACCGGAACGAUAAUGACGGUACCGGGAGAAGAAGCUGCGGCUAACUACGUGCCAGCAGCCGCGGUAAUACGUAGGCAGCAAGCGUUGUUCGGAGUUACUGGGCGUAAAGAGUGCGUAGGCGGUUUUCUAAGUUCGGUGUGAAAUCUCCCGGCUUAACUGGGAGGGUGCGCCGAAGACUGGGAAGCUGGAGUGUGGGAAAGGCAGGCGGAAUUCCUGGUGUAGCGGUGAAAUGCGUAGAUAUCAGGAGGAACACCGGCGGUAUAGACGGCUUGCUAGACCAUAACUGACGCUGAGGCACGAAAGCGUGGGUAGCAAACA